GGAUUAGAUAAUCGCUGAAAGCAUCUAAGUGAGAAACUAACCUCGAGAUGAGAUUUCCCAUUCGUCAGAAGUAAGACCCCUGAGAGACGAUCAGGUAGAUAGGCUAGAAGUGGAAGUGUAGUGAUGCAUGGAGCGGACUAGUACUAAUAGGUCGAGGACUUAACCAAG
rnacentral:rRNA from 1 species